ACGCUGGCGGCACGCCUAACACAUGCAAGUCGAGCGAAGUAGCAAUACUUAGUGGCAGACGGGUGAGUAACAUGUAGGUAUCUGCCCUUUGGCCUGGAAUAACACGAGGAAACUUGUGCUAAUACCGGAUAAGUCUUUACGAGAGAAAGCUUUAUGCACCAUUGGAUGAGCCUGCACUUGAUUAGUUUGUUGGUGGGGUAAUGGCCUGCCAAGACUUUGAUCAAUAGCUGAUUUGAGAGGAUGAUCAGCCACAUUGGGACUGAGACACGGCCCAAACUCCUACGGGAGGCAGCAGUGGGGAAUCUUGCACAAUGGAGGAAACUCUGAUGCAGCGAUGCCGCGUGAGUGAAGAAGGCCCUUGGGUUGUAAAGCUCUUUCGUCGGGGAAGAAAAUGACUGUACCCGAAUAAGAAGGUCCGGCUAACUUCGUGCCAGCAGCCGCGGUAAUACGAAGGGACCUAGCGUAGUUCGGAAUUACUGGGCUUAAAGAGUUCGUAGGUGGUUGAAAAAGUUGGUGGUGAAAUCC
rnacentral:rRNA from 1 species